AACGAACGCUGGCGGCAUGCCUAACACAUGCAAGUCGAACGAGACCUUCGGGUCUAGUGGCGCACGGGUGCGUACCGCGUGGGAACCUGCCCUUAGGUUCGGAAUAACUCCCCGAAGGGGGUGCUCAUACCGGAUAAUGUCUUCGGACCAAAGAUUUAUCGCCUUGGGAUGGGCCCGCGUUGGAUUGGCUAGUUGGUAGGGUACAAGCCUACCAAGGCGACGAUCCAUAGCUGGUCUGAGAGGAUGAUCAGCCACACUGGGACUGAGACACGGCCCAGACUCCUACGGGAGGCAGCAGUGGGGAAUAUUGGACAAUGGGCGAAAGCCUGAUCCAGCAAUGCCGCGUGAGUGAUGAAGGCCUUAGGGUUGUAAAGCUCUUUUACCCGGGAUGAUAAUGACAGUACCGGGAGAAUAAGCUCCGGCUAACUCCGUG
rnacentral:rRNA from 1 species